AUUAAUGCCCCAUAGGCCCAGGGCGACCGCAUGGCGCUAUGGGUAAAGCUCCGGCGGAUGGGGAUGGGCAUGCGUGCCAUUAGCUAGUUCGGGGCGGUAACGGCGCACCAAGGCGACGAUGGCUAGGGGGUCUGAGAGGAUGGUCCCCCACACUGGUACUGAGACACGGACCAGACUCCUACGGGAGGCAGCAGUGAGGAAUAUUGGUCAAUGGGCGGAAGCCUGAACCAGCCAUGCCGCGUGCAGGAUGACGGCCCUACGGGUUGUAAACUGCUUUUCCCCGGGAAGAAUAAGCCCCUCGUGAGGGGUGAUGCCGGUACCGGGGGAAUAAGGAUCGGCUAGCUCCGUGCCAGCCGCGGC
rnacentral:rRNA from 1 species